GUGGGGAAUAUUGGACAAUGGGCGCAAGCCUGAUCCAGCCAUGCCGCGUGUGUGAAGAAGGCCUUUUGGUUGUAAAGCACUUUAAGCGAGGAGGAGGCUCCUUUAGUUAAUACCUAAAGAGAGUGGACGUUACUCGCAGAAUAAGCACCGGCUAACUCUGUGCCAGCAGCCGCGGUAAUACAGAGGGUGCGAGCGUUAAUCGGAUUUACUGGGCGUAAAGCGUGCGUAGGCGGCUUUUUAAGUCGGAUGUGAAAUCCCUGAGCUUAACUUGGGAAUUGCAUUCGAUACUGGUUGGCUAGAGUAUGGGAGAGGAUGGUAGAAUUCCAGGUGUAGCGGUGAAAUGCGUAGAGAUCUGGAGGAAUACCGAUGGCGAAGGCAGCCAUCUGGCCUAAUACUGACACUGAGGUGCGAAAGCAUGGGGAGCAAACAGGAUUAGAUACCCUAGUAGUCC
rnacentral:rRNA from 1 species